rnacentral:lncRNA from 1 species
GACGCCGACGUAGGGCAUGAUGGGAGAAUACUAUGGUUUACGCUGGCGCGGAACUUAAUUUACGGACACCAAAGGGCUAAGACGCUCCGUUUUGAGGUUGGAAGAUGGUUCGGUGGUCAAGAGCACGGCUGCUCUUCUGGAGGACGCCGGUUUGAUUUCUAGCACUCACAACUGCUCACAACCGGUUGUAACUUCAGUUCCAUGGGAUCCUAACCCUCUUUUGAUCCUUGUGGGCUUUGGAUGCCUGUGGAGAAAAAGACGUGUGUUGUGUGUGUGUGUGCAGGGAAAUAAAUAAAUACAAUAAUAUAUAUAUAUUCUGGCAACCAUGGUCUUAAUUCCUAGAAACUCAGGAGGGAGAAGCAGGCAGUUCUCAGUGAGUUCCAAGUCAGCCAUGGCUCCAUAAGAGACUCUGUCUCAACAUAAAUAAAUAAUUAAAAAACAAUUGAUACUUGGUAAUAUGUAUUGUUUGGUUAUGUACCCUGGGACAAGGGACUGAGGUGCAAAUUUUAUAUUUCAAAGCAGACCUGGCCUCCAGGUUCUCUCAGCAUCCCUCAGUCCCUACCUUGCAUACCCUUGCUGCAACCCUGAACUUUCCAGCCCAGGGGCUGGACUGCCCUUUCCCCAGAGGCUCUUCCCUAUAUAAACCAGAUGUUUUGGUCUUCCUCAUCUCUCCUCCUGUCUUCUCUCUAUAUAUUCAUACCCUUUCUCUUUCUCUCUCCUCCCCCACCAUGGUGACUUCCUUGGCCUCAGUC